rnacentral:lncRNA from 1 species
GGAGGGGAGGCUCACACCCUGCGGCGGCUUAAGCCUGGAUUUACGCACUGGAGGAGGGAAUUAGCCCUGAGAUUGAGGUUUUCGUCUAUCGCCGCUGGGCCGAUAGGGCUUCUUUUUAAGAUUUGGCUUUCCAAGUAAGAUUUUUGUUUGCCUGCUUUUCUCCUGGAAUUUUUUUGUUUUUGGUCGAAGAAGCAGCUCCCACUUUGCAGUUGUGUCAGCCAAUCACGACAGCUUCCCAGACUUCCGUGCAAGUGCCUGCUUUGAGGCCAAGGUGGCCAUAAAUGGCAGCUCCUCAGGCUCCUCCACAAUCUCUGGUUUCUUAUGUUUCUCCAUGAGCUCAGCUUUUUCAUCAACUCCAAUGCUUCAAGCCGAAGUCAUUAGUGAAUGUUCUACAAUCCUUCAGCUGCAGCUCCAGACCUUCACUCCUCCAGCUUCUCCUACAUCCAUCUAACCCUCAAUUCCUACAUUAAAUCUCUUUAUUCCAGAAUAC